CUAAAUUACCAUUUUCUUUCCUCCUACUCCUCACGGGUCCUUCAAAGAAAUUAUCAAGUUUGUUUCAAGUUCCAAAUCAAGAAGGUAGGUAAUUAAAUGUCUUACUCUUCAUUAAUCUUCCAGUUUCAAUUUCAAAAAAAAUUCAUUCUUACUUUGUGAUCAACAAAUUGCAGAAUCGAACUAUUGCCAACACCACCCCUCAUAUCAAGGUUACCUCCUACUUUACUUUCUCCAUACAUUCAUUUGUUAAAUUACAAAACUAUGAUUCAAAUGAAAACAGAUCGAACACACGCAUCCAUUACCACUUCUUUUAGACUAUUAUUGUUUCAAUUACAUCAGCUUAUCACCAUCAGAGAACCACCAACAGAAUAAUACACACGCACACAUUUUACUAUAUUCUCUAAUCUAUUACAUGUACAAUCAGUUUUAAUAAAAAGGAAAUGAAUGAUUGAAAGAACAGAUUAAUAAAACCCUAAUUUUGCUUUUGUGCGUGUGACUGAAAUUUGGGGGUUCUUGUGUCUUUGCCUUCUGUGUAUGUCCGAAAAUGGGGAAAGAGGUGAGAGCAGCCGGGGGCUGCUCACGGUCGGCGACGGCGGCGGCGGCACAGCCGCUAGCCCUUGUCCUGCCAAAACGAGAGAGAAGAGGGUAGAGAGAGAGAUGGUUAGGGCUUCUGUAAAAAUAAAAAAAAGGGGAAAGGAAGAAGAGAGGGAGGGGAGGACUUAUCUUCUCCGGUGACGACGACGCGGCGGCAUCGGCAGCGGCGACACGACGGCGGGAGCAACGGGCUGUUCCUGACCGGCCGGAAAAGAGGGAAAUAAGGGAAAUUUCAGAUCUGGGUUUAAAAAUAGAAAAGAGAGGAAAAGGGGGAAGAUUUGGAACCUACCUUUCCGGCGAGGCAAGGCUCGGCCUCCACCACGAUUCCAGCCAGACGGACGGCGGCCGAGCUCCUUCACAGCGAGGCGGCGGCUGUGGUCGUCAAGGCGGCACAGGCAUCGAUUACCGGCGAGGGAGAAAUAACAGAGGGAGAGGGGCGGACGAAAGAGACAGGGGAGAGAGAGAAGGGGGGGAAGCGUCCGGCGAGGCGGCGCGCCGGAGGCGGCGCCGCACUCGACCGAGCAGAGGGGCGAGAGAGCCGAGAGAAAGAGAGAGCAAAGGGGCUGGUGUGUGUUGUGU
rnacentral:lncRNA from 1 species